AACGAACGCUGGCGGCAUGCCUAACACAUGCAAGUCGAACGAGACCUUCGGGUCUAGUGGCGCACGGGUGCGUAACGCGUGGGAACCUGCCCUUAGGUUCGGAAUAACUCCCCGAAAGGGGUGCUAAUACCGGAUAAUGUCUUCGGACCAAAGAUUUAUCGCCUUUGGAUGGGCCCGCGUUGGAUUAGCUAGUUGGUAGGGUAAAAGCCUACCAAGGCGACGAUCCAUAGCUGGUCUGAGAGGAUGAUCAGCCACACUGGGACUGAGACACGGCCGAGACUCCUACGGGAGGCAGCAGUGGGGAAUAUUGGACAAUGGGCGAAAGCAUGAUCCAGCAAUGCCGCGUGAGUGAUGAAGGCCUUAGGGUUGUAAAGCUCUUUUACCCGGGAUGAUAAUGACAGUACCGGGAGAAUAAGCUCCGGCUAACUCCGUG
rnacentral:rRNA from 1 species